rnacentral:rRNA from 1 species
UACGUAGGUGGCGAGCGUCGUCCGGAAUUACUGGGCGUAAAGGGCGCGUAGGCGGCUCUUUAAGUCAGAUGUGAAAACCCAGGGCUUAACUUUGGGAGUGCAUUUGAAACUGAAGGGCUCGAGUGCAGGAGAGGUAAGUGGAAUUCCUAGUGUAGCGGUGAAAUGCGUAGAUAUUAGGAGGAACACCAGUGGCGAAGGCGACUUACUGGACUGUAACUGACGCUGAGGCGCGAAGGCGUGGGGAGCGAACGGG